CCGGACAUAGCUCAGUCGGUUAGAGCGGCAGCCUUAUAAGCUGUGUGUCACGGGUUCGAUUCCCGUUGUCCGGA
rnacentral:tRNA from 2 species